rnacentral:rRNA from 1 species
GGCCUACGGGAGGCAGCAGUGGGGAAUCUUCCGCAAUGGGCGAAAGCCUGACGGAGCAACGUCGCGUGAGGGAUGACGGUCCUAUGGAUUGUAAACCUCUUUUGUCAGGGAGCAAAGGGCGCCACGUGUGGCGUUUUGCGAGUACCUGAAGAAAAAGCAUCGGCUAACUCCGUGCCAGCAGCUGCGGUAAUACGGAGGAUGCGAGCGUUAUCCGGAUUUAUUGGGUUUAAAGGGUGCGCAGGCGGAAUGUCAAGUCAGCGGUAAAAUUUCGGGGCUCAACCCCGUCGUGCCGUUGAAACUGGCGU